GAUGAACGCUGGCGGCGUGCCUAAUACAUGCAAGUCGAGCGAACGGACGAGAAGCUUGCUUCUCUGAUGUUAGCGGCGGACGGGUGAGUAACACGUGGAUAACCUACCUAUAAGACUGGGAUAACUUCGGGAAACCGUAGCUAAUACCGGAUAAUAUUUUGAACCGCAUGGUUCAAAAGUGAAAGACGGUCUUGCUGUCACUUAUAGAUGGAUCCGCGCUGCAUUAGCUAGUUGGUAAGGUAACGGCUUACCAAGGCAACGAUGCAUAGCCGACCUGAGAGGGGGAUCGGCCACACUGGAACUGAGACACGGUCCAGACUCCUACGGGAGGCAGCAGUAGGGAAUCUUCCGCAAUGGGCGAAAGCCUGACGGAGCAACGCCGCGUGAGUGAUGAAGGUCUGCGGAUCGUAAAACUCUGUUAUUAGGGAAGAACAUAUGUGUAAGUAACUGUGCACAUCUUGACGGUACCUAAGCAGAAAGCCACGGCUAACUACGU
rnacentral:rRNA from 1 species